GAGGGUAUAGCUCAAGUGGUAGAGCACAUGCUUAGCAUGCAUGAGGUCCUGGGUUCAAUCCCCAGUACUUCCU
rnacentral:tRNA from 1 species